rnacentral:rRNA from 1 species
CAGUAGCCGCGGUAAUACGUAGGUGGCAAGCGUUGUCCGGAAUUAUUGGGCGUAAAGGGCUCGCAGGCGGUUUCUUAAGUCUGAUGUGAAAGCCCCCGGCUCAACCGGGGAGGGUCAUUGGAAACUGGGAAACUUGAGUGCAGAAGAGGAGAGUGGAAUUCCACAUGUAGCGGUGAAAUGCGUAGAGAUGUGGAGGAACACCAGUGGCGAAGGCGACUCUCUGGUCUGUAACUGACGCUGAGGCUCGAAAGCGUGGGGAGCAAACAGGAUUAGAUACCCCUGUAGUCCCUGUCUCUUAUAC